rnacentral:rRNA from 1 species
GGGGAAUAUUGCGCAAUGGGGGAAACCCUGACGCAGCAACGCCGCGUGAGCGAUGAAGGUCUUCGGAUUGUAAAGCUCUGUCUUUAGGGACGAUAAUGACGGUACCUAAGGAGGAAGCCACGGCUAACUACGUGCCAGCAGCCGCGGUAAUACGUAGGUGGCAAGCGUUGUCCGGAUUUACUGGGCGUAAAGAGUAUGUAGGCGGAUAUUUAAGUCAGAUGUGAAAUUCCCGGGCUUAACCUGGGCGCUGCAUUUGAUACUGGAUAUCUAGAGUGUGGGAGAGGAAAGUGGAAUUCCUAGUGUAGCGGUGAAAUGCGUAGAGAUUAGGAAGAACACCAGUGGCGAAGGCGGCUUUCUGGACCAUAACUGACGCUGAGAUACGAAAGCGUGGGGAGCAAAC